rnacentral:tRNA from 2 species
CGGGGUGUGGCGCAGCCUGGGAGCGCGCCUGGUUUGGGACCAGGAGGUCGGCGGUUCGAAUCCGCCCGCCCCGACCA